CGCCCUCCACCCGACAGCUCUCCCGGUCUGUGUGUCUCUUUGGCUCAGCUGUUUGUGUCCCAGCUUUCACUGAUCCAGCACAGAAAUGGACAUUUCCUCCUCCGAGAGUGAGAGACACUGAGAUGUGGGACACAGGAUGUAGGACACCUUGCCUUCACACUGAUAUUCUGUCUUAUCUACAAAGAUGUCCCCUCCACUGGACUUAAUAAGCCGACACAUAAACAUGACAAUCAUGCUAUUGUAUGUCACCUGUCAGCAGGGGCUUCUCACCAAGGUGAUAUGCAAAUGAAAUAACACACUCUUACAAUUUGUAGUCUGUCAACCAGGCUGUAAUUAAUCUGCUACUGAUUUUCCGUCACUGCCUAUACCCAUAAUUCAACAUUUUGAGACUUGCAUCUCCAAAAUGAAUCCCGAUGACAAAGCUGCUACAGUAUAUGUUAAUUCUCUUUUAUAUCACCUUCAAUAACAUUGCAGCCAAUGUUCUGGAAGAAACAAUUUUUAUGUCACUAUUUUUGCGCUUAUUUUGUUGUUUGAGUGCCGCGCUGCUGGGGAGCCUCUUGGUCUGAUUUUGGCUAAGCAGGAAGAGAGCAUCGUUCAGUGUGUACCAGUUAUUCUUUGAGCUUUUGGUGACUUCAGGUGUAAGUGGACGGUCACACUCUGUCAGGCCUCAUCUUCUGAGAACAAAGAGAGGUCUUAUGGGAGUUCACAGCACAAAGCUGCCCUCCAAGGGCAACAGACAAAAGGGACAGAGAGGAAGUCAGCUUCCUGCUGCAUGCUUUGCUUUGAAAGCAUUGUUCAAAUACAAAAAAAAUUAUGAAACAAAAGCAAAAGAUAGAAACUAUCUACACAUCUAACAUGAAGUGGAAAUAUAAGCAUGUGUCUCAGAGCUUUUUCCAUCACAAUAUGUCUAAAUAUUAGCCUCAGCUCUUGAAAUCUUCCUUUUCUUUGACAUGAGAUGUAUAUUUUUAUGGAGCUCAUCUACAGUGCCUUACAAAGCUGUUUGUACCCUAACGUAUCAUGUUGCACCCACAAAAAGAUAUUGUGAUUUAAUGGGAGUUUAUGUGAUAUUUAAAUAUAAAAUGUUACGAUGAAAACAGAAGGAUAAAUGGUUUUCAAUAUGUUUUUUUUUACAAGUUAAAACAGGAAUGUUUUAACUUAAAAGUUUACAAGUUAUAAGAAAUAUAGUAAAAGUUUUUCACAAACCAUGUACAGGCCACAGCAAAUAUACUCCACUCAUUUGAGGUCAGAAUUUAAUCUUAUGGCUUAUAUGCUUCUUUCUCUUCCAAUUUGAAAGUCAAAUAAAGGAAACUAGAGCUACAAAAAAAAACUAUGCAAAAUGAAGAUGCAGAAGACUUGAAUGAAGCCAGUAGAGACAUGCCACAAAAGACUUACAGUGAGAAAGUUCUUCUACAAAGUGUUGGCUCUGGGGCAGUGAAUACAAAUACAAGAAAAACCUUUGAUUGUUUGUAAAAAAAAUAAAAAUAAAAAAUAACGUUUUAAAAAUUAUGCAUCCUUUUUCUUCCACUUUUUAUCUAAGGGGUCAAAAUCAUUUUUGACUGUUGUUGAUAAAUAUGUUAAGAACCAAAUGCAUUUUCAAUCUAAAUAGGGUUUGCCUUCUAUAGUAAUAGUAGAAAGACAUGCCACAAAUUACCCCGUGAAUAUAAGUCUCUAUUAUCAUAAAAACAGGGAUUUUCAGCAUCUGGAAACAGUUCACACAUAAAUUACUUCUCCAGAGGGACAAAAAAAAAAAAAAAAAGGACAAAAAGAAAAAUGUGGAGUACAUAUCAAUGAGAAUAUUUAGACGUGUUACCCCCCAUCUAAACAAGUGGUUUACACUUGCUGUCAUCAGAAGAUUGUUUGUAAUGAUAGCUGGGAAACCAGCAAUCCCCAGCAGUGCACAGACACAGGACAUCUGCACACUGGCUGUUUCAUCUGCUGGCUCAACAGCGGCAAAUGAAACAGCCAAGACAUACCCAGGAGGGACUAGCAACACAAGCUGUAAAUUAGCUAAUGUCAGCUAUAAUUACAAUGUGCUAAGCCAAAAUGAAGUAAAGUUUGUUUUCCCCUCGGUGUCACUUCAGAGUGUUGACUGCAGAGAAAUAGCAGCGACGAAGAAAUGCCAACAUAGCAUGUGCAUGUAUGUUUUUAUACAUUUGCAUUGCGUCCUAAUCAAUUUCUCUUUUAUUAUUUAUGUAGGAACUACAACGAAAAUGAACAGUCUGAGUAGUUUUCAUUGAAAUCUGAAAGUAAUGACCCAACAAUUGGCCUUGAGCAGAAAUCUGUCGAAGACGAAAUCCACUCAUAAUUACCAAAUCAAAACUUGACUUGGUUGUGAAAGUAUGGAACAAUAUUCAGCACAUCAAGGCAUUUGUCUCCUCUGCAGAACAUGUUGGUAGUCACAACAGAUCAAUAAGUUUAUUACCCCUGAAGCAGCAUACGAUGAAACCUGUUGAUAGGCUUCUUUGUGUAACAUUAUGGUGGCUAUCCAAAUAAAGUAAAGCAAUCGAACACAAUUUAGUUG